GUACUUACCUGGCAGGGGAGAUGCCAUGAUCAGGAAGGUGGUUUUCCCCGAGUGAGGCUUAUGCAUUGCACUCUGGAUGUGCUGACCCCUGCAAUUUCCCCAAAUGUGGGACACUCGACCCCUGAGUUUGUCCUGGUGGGGGACUGCUUUUGCGUUCUCUUCCA
rfam:Sus scrofa chromosome 2.